AGACAGAGUGUCGCCUUGUCGCCCAGGCUGGAGUUCAGUGGCUCAGUAUUGGCUCACUGCAACCUCUGCCUCCCAGGUGCAAACGAUUCUCCUGCCUCAGACUCCCAAGUAGCUGGCACUACAGCUGUCUGCCACCACACCCAGCUAAUUCUGUUGUAUUUUAGUAGAGACAGGGUUUCACCCUGUUGGCCAGGCUGCUCUCGAACUCCUGACCUCAAGUGAUCUGCCCGCCUUGGCCUCCCUAAGUGCUGGGAUUACAGACGUGAGCCAUUGCGCCUGGCCUUUUUCUUUUUUUCUUUUUUUGAGACGGAGUCUUGCUCUCUCGCCCGGGCUGGAGUGCAGUGGUGCGAUCUCGGCUCACUGCAAGCUCCAUCUCCCGGGUUCUCGCCAUUCUCCUGCUUCAGCCUCCUGAGUAGUUGGGACUACAGGCGCCCACCACCACAUCCGGCUAAUUUUUUGUAUUUUUAGUAGAGACUGGGUUUCAUUGUGUUAGCCAGGAUGGUCUCGAUCUCCUGACCUCGUUGAUCCGCCCGCCUCAGCCUCCCAAAGUGCUGGGAUUACAGGUGUUAGCCACCACAGCCGGCCCUCUUUUUUUUUGAGAUGGAGUCUCGCUUUGUUGCCCAGGCUGGAGUGCAGUGGCGCAAUCUUGGCUCACUGCAGCCUCUGCCUCCCGGGUUCAAGCGAUUCUCCUGCUUCGGCCCCCUGAGUAGCUGGGAUUACAGGCACGUGCCACCACACCCAGCUAAUUUUUGUAUUUUUAGUAGAGACGGGGUUUCACCAUGUUGGCCACGCUGGUCUUGAGCUCCUGACCUCGUGAUCUUCCCGCCUCAGCUCCCCACAGUGCUGGGAUUCCAGGCGUGAGCUGCUGUACCUGCCCAUGAUAACUUUCUCACCACCACCAACUUCAGUUUCCCUCGCUGCUGUAAUAAUCAGUUCCCUGAGCUGGGCCUUGAGGUCCGAGUUCAUCUCCAGCUCCAGAAGAAUCUAAGAAGGCAAGAACACCAGGGUCAACCCUCAGUGCGUGUAUGAGCACCCCCAGCCUCAUUUUUGUGUUUUCUAUAGAGAUGGGGUCUCGCUGUGUUGCCCAUGCUGGUCCUGAACUCCUUAUCUCAAGUGAUCCUCCUGCCUCGGCCUCCUAAAGUGCUGGGAUUACAGCCAUCAGCCGCCGUGUCCGGCUUUAAAAAGCAAUCCUAAAAAUCGUAAACAAAAUGACACAGAGGAACCUUAUUGCUCAUCGAGCCAUGCAAGAAAGGAACCGUUUAUUUCCAGCAAGUUUAAAACAUCGAUUUGACCUCCAGCCAUGGUCGAUGAGAUGUUAGAAAACCAACUCUCUUGCUGACAACAACGAGAAAAUCUUGAUACCAUUUAGCAAAAAGAAGUCUGUGGGGGAGGCGUUGGAGAGUGACGGAACUGCCACGGCCUGAGGCACCCGGCUUCCGGAGCCUCUGGCAGCCCAGAGAAGUCUCUGUCUUGUCGCCCAGGCUGGGGUACAGUGGUGCCAUCUCAGCUGACUGCAACCUCCGCCUCCGGGUUCAAGUGAUUGUCCUGCCUCAGCCUCCUGAGUAGCUGGGAUUACAGGCGCCCACCACCAUGCCUGGACGUCCCAGUGAUCGGGAGGAGCGGGAAGAGCUUCAGCUACAACCAGGACGUGGUGCUGCUGCUUCUGACAGACGGAGUCCUGUUCCACCUUCAGAGCGUCACGGCGUACGCCCUCAUGGGGAAAAUCUCCCCGGUGACUUUCAGUGUUUUAACUCAAAUGGGUGAUGAAAAGGACUCUUGGAAAGUGAAAACUUUAGAUGAAAUUCUUCAGGAAAAGAAACGAAGGAAGGAACAAGAGGAGAAAGCAGAGAUAAAACGCUUAAAAAAUAACAACGCUUCUUCGGUGAAGUUCUUUUGUACUUCCAAAUGUCGCAGUCUGAUGACCGGGAUUCCAAGCGGGAUUCCCUUGAGGAGGGGGAGCUGAGAGAUCACUGCAUGGAGAUCACAAUAAGGAACUCCCCGUAUAGAAGAGAAGACUCAAUGGAAGACAGAGGAGAAGAAGAUGAUUCUUUGGCCAUCAAACCACCCCAGCAAAUGUCUCGGAAAGAAAAAGUUCAUCACAGAAAAGAUGAAAAGAGAAAAGAAAAAUGUAGGCAUCAUAGCCAUUCAGCAGAAGGGGGGAAGCAUGCUAGAGUGAAAGAAAGAGAGCACGAACGUCGGAAACGACAUCGAGAAGAACAGGAUAAAGCUCGCCGGGAAUGGGAAAGACAGAAGAGAAGGGAAAUGGCAAGGGAGCAUUCCAGGAGAGAAAGGGACCGCUUGGAGCAGUUAGAAAGGAAGCGGGAGCGGGAGCGCAAGAUGCGGGAGCAGCAGAAGGAGCAGCGGGAGCAGAAGGAGCGCGAGCGGCGGGCGGAGGAGCGGCGCAAGGAGCGGGAGGCCCGCAGGGAAGUGUCUGCACAUCACCGAACGAUGAGAGAGGACUACAGCGACAAAGUGAAAGCCAGCCACUGGAGUCGCAGCCCGCCUCGGCCGCCGCGGGAGCGGUUCGAGUUGGGAGACGGCCGGAAGCCAGUAAAAGAAGAGAAAAUGGAAGAAAGGGACCUGCUGUCCGACUUACAGGACAUCAGCGACAGCGAGAGGAAGACCAGCUCGGCCGAGUCCUCGUCAGCGGAAUCAGGCUCAGGUUCUGAGGAAGAAGAGGAGGAGGAGGAAGAGGAGGAGGAGGAAGGGAGCACCAGUGAAGAAUCAGAGGAGGAGGAGGAGGAAGAGGAAGAGGAGGAGGAGGAGACCGGCAGCAACUCUGAGGAGGCAUCAGAGCAGUCUGCCGAAGAAGUAAGUGAGGAAGAAAUGAGUGAAGAUGAAGAACGAGAAAAUGAAAACCACCUCUUGGUUGUUCCAGAGUCACGGUUCGACCGAGAUUCCGGGGAGAGUGAAGAAGCAGAGGAAGAAGUGGGUGAGGGAACGCCGCAGAGCAGCGCCCUGACAGAGGGCGACUAUGUGCCCGACUCCCCUGCCCUGUUGCCCAUCGAGCUCAAGCAGGAGCUGCCCAAGUACCUGCCGGCCCUGCAGGGCUGCCGGAGCGUCGAGGAGUUCCAGUGCCUGAACAGGAUCGAGGAGGGCACCUAUGGAGUGGUCUACAGAGCAAAAGACAAGAAAACAGAUGAAAUUGUGGCUCUAAAGCGGCUGAAGAUGGAGAAGGAGAAGGAGGGCUUCCCGAUCACGUCCCUGAGGGAGAUCAACACCAUCCUCAAGGCCCAGCAUCCCAACAUUGUCACCGUUAGAGAGAUUGUGGUGGGCAGCAACAUGGACAAGAUCUACAUCGUGAUGAACUACGUGGAGCACGACCUCAAGAGCCUGAUGGAGACCAUGAAACAGCCCUUCCUGCCAGGGGAGGUGAAGACCCUGAUGAUCCAGCUGCUGCGGGGGGUGAAACACCUGCACGACAACUGGAUCCUGCACCGUGACCUCAAGACGUCCAACCUGCUGCUGAGCCACGCCGGCAUCCUCAAGGUGGGUGAUUUUGGGCUGGCGCGGGAGUACGGAUCCCCUCUGAAGGCCUACACCCCGGUCGUGGUGACCCAGUGGUACCGCGCCCCAGAGCUGCUGCUUGGUGCCAAGGAAUACUCCACGGCCGUGGACAUGUGGUCAGUGGGCUGCAUCUUCGGGGAGCUGCUGACUCAGAAGCCUCUGUUCCCCGGGAAUUCGGAAAUCGAUCAGAUCAACAAAGUGUUCAAGGAGCUGGGGACCCCCAGUGAGAAAAUCUGGCCCGGCUACAGUGAGCUCCCAGUAGUCAAAAAGAUGACCUUCAGCGAGCACCCCUACAACAACCUCCGCAAGCGCUUCGGGGCUCUGCUCUCAGACCAGGGCUUCGACCUCAUGAACAAGUUCCUGACCUACUUCCCCGGGAGGAGGAUCAGCGCUGAGGACGGCCUCAAGCAUGAGUAUUUCCGCGAGACCCCCCUCCCCAUCGACCCCUCCAUGUUCCCCACGUGGCCCGCCAAGAGCGAGCAGCAGCGUGUGAAGCGGGGCACCAGCCCGAGGCCCCCUGAGGGAGGCCUGGGCUACAGCCAGCUGGGUGACGACGACCUGAAGGAGACGGGCUUCCACCUUACCACCACGAACCAGGGGGCCUCUGCCGCGGGCCCCGGCUUCAGCCUCAAGUUCUGAAGGUCAGAGUGGACCCCGUCAUGGGGAGAACUCAGCCGGGACCACAGGCGUGGCUACUGCGGCUGGAGCUGCGAUGAGACUCGGAACUCCUCGUCUUACUUUGUGCUCCAUGUUUUGUUUUUGUAUUUUGGUUUGUAAAUUUGUAGAAUUAAAUCAUUUUCCUUGUUGUGGAGGAAAGAGCUGUGUUUUCUCCGUGACUUGCCAGGGCAUCUUCGGGUGCCCACGUGGGGCAGCACAAACCUCCACACACCCUCUCCCACUCUCGACAC
rnacentral:lncRNA from 1 species